GGAAUUGACGGGGCCGCACAAGCAGCGGAGCGUGUGGUUAAUUCGAUGCUACACGAAGAACCUUACCUGGAUUUGACAUGCACGUAGUAGUGAACCGAAAGGGGAACGAGCCUUCGGGCAGCGUGCACAGGUGCUGCAUGGCUGUCGUCAGCUCGUGCCGUGAGGUGUUGGGUUAAGUCCCGCAACGAGCGCAACCCUCGUCGCUAGUUACAUGUGUCUAGCGAGACUGCCAGGUUAACCUGGAGGAAGGUGGGAUGACGUCAAGUCAGCAUGGCCUUUAUGUCCAGGGCUACACACACGCUACAAUGGUCGGUACAAUGGGAUGCCAAGCCGCGAGGCGGAGCAAAUCCUCAAAGCCGGCCUCAGUUCGGAUUGGAGGCUGCAACUCGCCUCCAUGAAGUCGGAGUUGCUAGUAACCGCAGGUCAGCUAUACUGCGGUGAAUACGUUCCCGGGCCUU
rnacentral:rRNA from 1 species